CAACUUUCAGCAAUGGAUCUCUUGGCUCUCGCAUCGAUGAAGAACGCAGCGAAUCGCGAUACGUAAUGUGAAUUGCAGAUUUUCAGUGAAUCAUCGAAUCUUUGAACGCACCUUGCGCUCCUUGGUAUUCCGAGGAGCAUGCCUGUUUGAGUGUCAC
rnacentral:rRNA from 1 species